AUACGGAGGGCGCAAGCGUUACUCGGAAUCACUGGGCGUAAAGCGCGCGCAGGCGGGCUGAUAAGUUGGAUGUGAAAGCCUACGGCUCAACCGUAGAACUGCAUCCAAAACUGUCAGUCUAGAGUCUGGGAGGGGAAGAUGGAAUUAGUUGUGUAGGGGUAAAAUCCGUAGAGAUAACUAGGAAUACCAAAAGCGAAGGCAAUCUUCUGGAACACUACUGACGCUGAGGCGCGAAAGCGUGGGGAGCAAACAGGAUUAGAAACCCUAGUAGUCC
rnacentral:rRNA from 1 species